rfam:Gallus gallus isolate RJF #256 breed Red Jungle fowl, inbred line TCD001 chromosome 1, whole genome shotgun sequence.
AGCCAGGCUAUUUUAAUAGCCACUUAUUUUUAAUAUCCAUUUAUAU